AUUGAACGCUGGCGGCAGGCCUAACACAUGCAAGUCGAGCGGAGCGGCGGACGGGUGAGUAAUGCCUGGGAAUCUGCCUGGUAGUGGGGGAUAACGUUCGGAAACGGGCGCUAAUACCGCCUACUAUCCGAUGAACCUCGGCGGGAUUAGCUAGUUGGUGGGGUAAAGGCCUACCAAGGCGACGCUCCGUAACUGGUCUGAGAGGAUGAUCAGGCACACUGGAACGCAGCAACGGUCCAGACUCCUACGGUAGGCAGCAGUGGGGAAUAUUGGACAAUUGGCGAAAGCCUGAUCCAGCCAUGCCGCGUGUGUGAAGAAGGUCUUCGGAUUGUAAAGCACUUUAAGUUGGGAGGCGUUACCAACAGAAUAAGCACCGGCUAACUUCGUGCCAGCCGCCGCGGUAAUUC
rnacentral:rRNA from 1 species